UCUUCCUUCCUUCCUUCCUUCUUCGUUUCGUUAUCAUGUAUAGUAACGCAACACUUAUACAUUGCGUGACAGAUGUGACAUGAAAUCAACAUGCAUCAUGGGUAGACCUGCUGGGUAGUGUAACCCUCGUGUAUUUUUGGUGUUUUCGAGCAAAUAUCUCUAAAACAAUCUUAGAUUUUUACUAAAAAUACCAAAAUGAAUACAUCAGAUACGUCUAACGAUACUUUCCUUUUCACAUCGGAGUCUGUAGGCGAGGGACAUCCAGAUAAAAUGUGUGACCAGAUAUAACAGAUGCCAUUUUGGAUGCGCAUUUCAAGGAAGAUCCUGAUGUUAAAAAAGCCGCUUGUGAAAGUGUUGCUAAGAUAGGGAUGAUUGCAAUAUUAGGUGAAAUCACAUCCAAAGCUUAUAUUGAUUAUCUGAAGAUAGUCCGCAACACUAUCAAGCAAAUAGGAUACGAUGAUUCUAGAAAAGGUAUGCAUGGCGGCCUCAGAGGGACUCCGGGAUAAAAGUAUCGGGUGUGCUCAUCGGACAUUUUAAAAGGUAAAAUUCAAUGCUGUGUUUCUCAUACAUUUUAAACUUAAUUUCCUUAAAACUUUCGUCAAUUAUAAAGUAUCUUUUCUAGUUUAGAAAAAUACCAAUUAUUGUUAGUUUGUUAUUUUGUACAUGAAAUAUUCGUGCCUUCAAGUAA